UACGUAGGGGGCAAGCGUUGUCCGGAAUCAUUGGGCGUAAAGAGCGUGUAGGCGGCUCGAUAAGUCUGCUGUGAAAGUCCAGGGCUCAACCCUGGAAGGCCGGUGGAAACUGUCGGGCUAGAGUCCGGAAGAGGCGAGUGGAAUUCCCGGUGUAGCGGUGAAAUGCGCAGAUAUCGGGAGGAACACCAAUGGCGAAGGCAGCUCGCUGGGACGGUACUGACGCUGAGACGCGAAGGCGUGGGGAGCGAACAGG
rnacentral:rRNA from 1 species